GAUGAACGCUGGCGGCGUGCCUAAUACAUGCAAGUCGAGCGAAUGGAUUGAGAGCUUGCUCUUAUGAAGUUAGCGGCGGACGGGUGAGUAACACGUGGGUAACCUGCCCAUAAGACUGGGAUAACUCCGGGAAACCGGGUCUAAUACCGGAUAACAUUUUGAACCGCAUGGUUCGAAAUUGAAAGGAGGCUUCGGCUGUCACUUAUGGAUGGACCCGCGUCGCAUUAGCUAGUUGGUGAGGUAACGGCUCACCAAGGCAACGAUGCGUAGCCGACCUGGGAGGGUGAACGGCCACACUGGGACUGAGACACGGCCCAGACGCCUACGGGAGGCAGCAGUAGAGAAUCUUCCGCAAUAGACGAAAGUCUGACGGAGCAACGCCGCGUGAGUGAAGAAGGUUCUCGGAUCGUAAAACUCUGUUGUGAGGGAAGAACAAGUACCGGAGUAACUGCCGGUGCCUUGACGGUACCUCAUUAGAAAGCCACGGCUAACUACGUGCCAGCAGCCGCCGUAA
rnacentral:rRNA from 1 species